AUCUGAACAGGAUCAUGGUGAAAGACCCCCGAAAGGAGACCCUCACUCAAGCCUCGGGACAGCCGCGGACCCAAGAAGACACCGAGACCG
rnacentral:pre_miRNA from 7 species